rnacentral:rRNA from 1 species
GACGUAGGGCGCGAGCGUUGUCCGGAUUUAUUGGGCGUAAAGAGCUCGUAGGCGGCUUGUCGCGUCGACCGUGAAAACUUGGGGCUCAACCCCAAGCCUGCGGUCGAUACGGGCAGGCUAGAGUUCGGUAGGGGAGACUGGAAUUCCUGGUGUAGCGGUGAAAUGCGCAGAUAUCGGGAAGAACACCCGUGGCGAAGGCGGUUCUCUGGGACGGUACUGACGCUGAGACGCGAAAGCGUGGGGAGCGAACAGG